rnacentral:rRNA from 1 species
AACGAACGCUGGCGGCAGGCCUAACACAUGCAAGUCGAGCGGGACCUUCGGGUCUAGCGGCGGACGGGUUAGUAACGCGUGGGAACGUGCCCAAAGGUACGGAAUAGCCUCGGGAAACUGAGAGUAAUACCGUAUGUGCCCCUCGGGGGAAAGAUUUAUCGCCUUUGGAUCGGCCCGCGUUGGAUUAGGUAGUUGGUGGGGUAAUGGCCUACCAAGCCGACGAUCCAUAGCUGGUUUGAGAGGAUGAUCAGCAACACUGGGACUGAGACACGGCCCAGACUCCUACGGGAGGCAGCAGUGGUGAAUCUUAGACAAUGGGGGAAACCCUGAUCUAGCCAUGCCGCGUGAGCGAUGAAGGCCUUAGGGUUGUAAAGCUCUUUCAGAUGGGAAGAUAAUGACGGUACCAUCAGAAGAAGCCCCCGGCUAAACUCCGUGCCAGCAGCCGCGGU